rnacentral:rRNA from 1 species
CGAGGGGGGCAAAUGUUGUUCGGAAUCACUGGGCGUAAAGGGAGCGUAGGCGGGUUUUUAAGUUAGGUGUUUAAUACCGGGGCCCAACCCCGGACCGGCACUUAAAACUGGGAAUCUUGAAUAGUGGAGAGGUCAGUGGAAUUGGGGGUGUAGCGGUGGAAUGCGUAGAGAUCCCCAAGAACACCAGUUGCGAAGGCGGCUGACUGGACACAUAUUGACGCUGAGGCUCGAAAGCAUGGGGGAGCAAACAGGAUUAGAUACCCUGGUAGUCCAUGCCAUAAACGAUGAAUACUAGGUUUUGGGCCCGUCAACGGUCCAGAGCCGCAGCUAACGCGUUAAGUAUUCCGCCUGGGGAGUACGGUCGCAAGACUG